rnacentral:rRNA from 1 species
AACGGACGCUGGCGGCAUGCCUAACACAUGCAAGUCGAACGAGACCUUCGGGUCUAGUGGCGCACGGGUGCGUAACGCGUGGGAACCUGCCCUUAGGUUCGGAAUAACUCCCCGAAAGGGGUGCUAAUACCGGAUAAUGUCUUCGGACCAAAGAUUUAUCGCCUUUGGAUGGGCCCGCGUUGGAUUAGCUAGUUGGUAGGGUAAAAGCCUACCAAGGCGACGAUCCAUAGCUGGUCUGAGAGGAUGAUCAGCCACACUGGGACUGAGACACGGCCCAGACUCCUACGGGAGGAAGCAGUGGGGAAUAUUGGACAAGGGGCGAAAGCCUGAUCCAGCAAUGCCGCGUGAGUGAUGAAGGCCUUAGGGUUGUAAAGCUCUUUUACCCGGGAUGAUAAUGACAGUACCGGGAGAAUAAGCGCCGGAUAACUCCGUG